rnacentral:rRNA from 1 species
AGAUUGAACGCUAGCGGGAUGCUUUACACAUGCAAGUCGAACGGCAGCGCGGACUUCGGUCUGGCGGCGAGUGGCGAACGGGUGAGUAAUAUAUCGGAACGUGCCCAGUAGCGGGGGAUAACUACGCGAAAGCGUGGCUAAUACCGCAUACGCCCUACGGGGGAAAGGGGGGGAUCGCAAGACCUCUCACUAUUGGAGCGGCCGAUAUCAGAUUAGCUAGUUGGUGAGGUAAAGGCUCACCAAGGCGACGAUCUGUAGCUUGGUUGAGAGGACGACCAGCCACACUGGGACUGAGACACGGCCCAGACUCCGUACGGGG